rnacentral:misc_RNA from 1 species
UUUCCGUAGGUGAACCUGCGGAAGGAUCAUUACUGAGCGAGGGCCCUCUGGGUCCAACCUCCCACCCGUGUUUAUUGUACCUUGUUGCUUCGGUGAGCCCGCCUCACGGCCGCCGGGGGGCAUCUGCCCCCGGGCCCGCGCUCGCCGAAGGCACCCUUGAACUCUGUCUGAAGUUUGCAGUCUGAGCGAAAACUAAAUAAGUUAAAACUUUCAACAACGGAUCUCUUGGUUCCG